AAAAUAUCAUACGUUGAAAUGCAUUUUAACACUCCAAACCUGUUGAAUGCCAUGCUUAGUAGCACAGCACGCUGCGGAAUAUGGGUGAGUUCCCCUGGCGAUCGCAUGGGUGACCGAGAGCUGUGGCUCGCCACUGCUGCCCAGCAUCAGAAAUGUUAUACCACAUGCCACCAGCCCAGGGGAAGACCCAAACUCAAACUCUGAAGUGUUGUGUCUAUUGAACACCAUUGUCAAAGUCAAAAAAGUAGAAGUCGAACCAUCUUAAGUUGGGGACCAUCUGUAUUUACCCAUUUGCUCAACACUCUGAGCAUAUAUGUCUUAUCUCUGCUGUCCGCAGCUGUUCUGCAUGGUGGUAUUUGGGUGCAAACACCCAUCCCCAGGCUGCCGCUCCACUGGGUCACCCUCCCUACCCUGCUGGGGUCUCCGACACCCUGGCUGGGUUGCCCAGUGCAUGGAUGGCCUGCGCUCCCUGCUUAUCCAUGCUCUGCUGCCAUCAAACGGAGGCCUCUUCCCCCUCCUGGGCCGAUUCCCUCCAGUCAUGCUGUUUGAGCACUGCAUCGGGGCAGGCCACCCACCCCUCCCCCAUAGGUCCCCAGCUUGCUCUGCCCCACUAACCACGGAUGACUUUAGCACUAAACUGUUCAAGAAGGGAACAAGGCUGGGAAGAGCAAUUUUCUUGUGGAUUUUUUUUUUUCUGUUAUGUUAGUACUACAAAAUGACUUGGAAAUAUUAUAAAGAAGUAUAAAGGGGCAAGGAAUCAAAACUCUCUAUUAAUUCUUCUACCAUUAUUGGGGCUGGCAUGGUAGCUCAGUGGUAGAGCGCUCGCCUGGCACACGUGAGGCCCUGGGUUUGGUCCUUGGCACCACAUAAAAAUAAAUAAAUAAAAUAAAGUACUGUGGCCAUCUGCAACUGAAAAAAAAAAAAAAAAAGAAGGAAACCAUUAUCCUUUUCCCUCCAAAAGUUUCAAGCAAGCAGACAAAACAAAUAAAGAAACAAAGAACUCGUGUCUUUUGAAAAAGGAAUACAGGCCCGUGGUUGAAAAAUCAAGAAGCAAGGCUCCCUCCCACCUGGGCCCCUCUGCACCUGCCACAACUGGUAUCUGUGUCUCGUGGACCCUUCCAGCUAUUUUUUUGUGCAUAUGCAGCCUGUGAGGGUUCCGUUUCUCAACCCAGUUGGACCUUUACCUUGCUGAUAUGUUUACCUAUGAGUCUUUUCACUUGCACGUACUGAACAAAAUAUAUACUUUAAAAAAAUGUUCCUUAUACUUGGGUUCUUCCAAAGUAUCAUUGUAAGUGGCUGCAUGAUUUUCCAUCACUGAAUUCGUGUCUCCUUUGGAUGAUCUCCUGUUGUUGGAGGACUGCCAUGUUGAUCAGCUCUGGCCUUCCUGUGCCAGGGAAGUCACAAAGCCAGCUUGGCUUGGAGAAGCAGUUCAGCCAUCUUCCAUGGCUGGUAAUAGACUAUUGAGUUGAAACAACAGAGAUUUGUUUUUCGCACUAAGAGGCGUUUGGAAGGUGGGUGGUUAAAUCCAAGCUUUGAGCAAGACUCCACAAUGCAAAAUUCUGAAGUGAAGUCAUCAAAGGGAUGGGGUCCUGCCGCCCUCACCAUGAGGUCGGGGUGAGAUGAGCCAGGAGGAAAAUGAAAAAGCCAGAGCCUGUGUGGCCGCCAAGCAGAGGGACCGAGGAGGCCUGUGCUGGGGACAGUCUCAAGGAUGCUGCAUGUGUCCUGCUGGGCUGACACGGGCCACACAGGAGAGAGGCUGUGUGGGGUCCAGGAGCCGCCGGGAGGAUCCCCUGGGUGGCCAUCUCCCAAGAACCCGCAGAAGCACUCCACGUCAGCUCCCAUCUUCUGGGCCCAGAGCACCAGUGCCCAUGAAUGGCAGUCCCCACGCAAGAACGACCCUGCCCUCCACUUUGACAUUGGCCAUCCCCACGUCCUGCACCCAGCAGGCUGGUAGGGAAAAGAGUUGGGUGCAAGAAUGGAAAAAGGAGAAGCAGGAGGCAGAAGAGAGGAGAAGGGAGCCGAAGGUCCUUCCUACUUCAGGCCUCGGGCCUGACGCAGGGCUCGGGGUGAUGGAAAAAUCUGUUCAGGGUUUUUAUUUGUCUUUGUUUUUAUUUUUAUUUUUUUCUUUUGGAAGUAGCUUCAGACUGUCUGUUACCUAGGGUGUGGACAAAGCCAUGGACCAGGCAGAGCUGUCAUCUGGAAGUAGGGGGAAGAGCAUGCCCUGAGUCACUCCCAGGGACCAUGGGAACAACAGGAAAGUUCGUUGUUCUCACCUCUCAUGAGUGAUGUGCUCAUCAUACCACUUUCAAAUAAAGUAAAUGUGACUUCGCAA